GGUAGCACAAACGGUAAGACUCUAAGAUCGGAACCAUGAGGACGACGGUUCGAGUCCGGCC
rnacentral:tRNA from 1 species